AGAGUUUGAUCCUGGCUCAGGAUGAACGCUGGCGGCGUGCCUAAUACAUGCAAGUCGAGCGAACGGACGAGAAGCUUGCUUCUCUGAUGUUAGCGGCGGACGGGUGAGUAACACGUGGAUAACCUACCUAUAAGACUGGGAUAACUUCGGGAAACCGUAGCUAAUACCGGAUAAUAUUUUGAACCGCAUGGUUCAAAAGUGAAAGACGGUCUUGCUGUCACUUAUAGAUGGAUCCGCGCUGCAUUAGCUAGUUGGUAAGGUAACGGCUUACCAAGGCAACGAUGCAUAGCCGACCUGAGAGGGUGAUCGGCCACACUGGAACUGAGACACGGUCCAGACUCCUACGGGAGGCAGCAGUAGGGAAUCUUCCGCAAUGGGCGAAAGCCUGACGGAGCAACGCCGCGUGAGUGAUGAAGGUCUUCGGAUCGUAAAACUCUGUUAUUAGGGAAGAACAUAUGUGUAAGUAACUGUGCACAUCUUGACGGUACCUAAUCAGAAAGCCACGGCUAACUACGUGCCAGCAGCCGCGGUAAUACGUAGGUGGCAAGCGUUAUCCGGAAUUAUUGGGCGUAAAGCGCGCGUAGGCGGUUUUUUAAGUCUGAUGUGAAAGCCCACGGCUCAACCGUGGAGGGUCAUUGGAAACUGGAAAACUUGAGUGCAGAAGAGGAAAGUGGAAUUCCAUGUGUAGCGGUGAAAUGCGCAGAGAUAUGGAGGAACACCAGUGGCGAAGGCGACUUUCUGGUCUGUAACUGACGCUGAUGUGCGAAAGCGUGGGGAUCAAACAGGAUUAGAUACCCUGGUAGUCCACGCCGUAAACGAUGAGUGCUAAGUGUUAGGGGGUUUCCGCCCCUUAGUGCUGCAGCUAACGCAUUAAGCACUCCGCCUGGGGAGUACGACCGCAAGGUUGAAACUCAAAGGAAUUGACGGGGACCCGCACAAGCGGUGGAGCAUGUGGUUUAAUUCGAAGCAACGCGAAGAACCUUACCAAAUCUUGACAUCCUUUGACAACUCUAGAGAUAGAGCCUUCCCCUUCGGGGGACAAAGUGACAGGUGGUGCAUGGUUGUCGUCAGCUCGUGUCGUGAGAUGUUGGGUUAAGUCCCGCAACGAGCGCAACCCUUAAGCUUAGUUGCCAUCAUUAAGUUGGGCACUCUAAGUUGACUGCCGGUGACAAACCGGAGGAAGGUGGGGAUGACGUCAAAUCAUCAUGCCCCUUAUGAUUUGGGCUACACACGUGCUACAAUGGACAAUACAAAGGGCAGCGAAACCGCGAGGUCAAGCAAAUCCCAUAAAGUUGUUCUCAGUUCGGAUUGUAGUCUGCAACUCGACUACAUGAAGCUGGAAUCGCUAGUAAUCGUAGAUCAGCAUGCUACGGUGAAUACGUUCCCGGGUCUUGUACACACCGCCCGUCACACCACGAGAGUUUGUAACACCCGAAGCCGGUGGAGUAACCUUUUAGGAGCUAGCCGUCGAAGGUGGGAUAAAUGAUUGGGGUGAAGUCGUAACAAGGUAGCCGUAUCGGAAGGUGCGGCUGGAUCACCU
rnacentral:rRNA from 1 species